rnacentral:lncRNA from 1 species
GACAUUGUCCAUUUCCACUGUUCUCUUCUGCAGCAUCAUCAGGAUUCUCACCUACCACAGUGACAGCUGCUCUUCCUCCCCUGAAGCCACCACCUCCAACAACCCAUCAUGUUCAUUUCUCUCCCCGAGCUACAUCAAAUUACCGUUUCAUGAAUCCAAAUCAGUAACACUCCAACGAGGUGCCAAAAUGUUACACACAUGAACCAUCUUUAGGGCAGGGCAGGUCCCGGGGGGGGGGGGGGGGGGGCGGUAGCCAGUCGCAAAGAAGUAAUACUUGGUGAACCAUCGUGUGGUCUACCCCUGUAUCAUUUUAUCGUGUUCUUCAGGUUCUUUCCUCUUCACCGCGGAGCUAGAACAGUCGAACUUUAUUCUGGGCUUUCGGUCAUCCCUUCGUCUACAUGUACUGUUCAUGAUCCGCACUAGUAAGUUCUUCUGAAACCGUGAAAUGUGGUUCAAAAUCAUUUUGACUGUCUUGUUUCUUUGGUGAGUAUACAUUUAAGUGCAACAACGGAUCCUUCAUGUGGAUAUAUAGUACAUCUCCGGAUCUGUUGCUAAUCUCCUUAGUGUUGAUAGCCCAAUCACCCGGUCUCUCAUUUGCUUCCGUGCGUGACUCUUGAGAAUGAUGCGAUAAGGAGAAGACGGGUAGUGGUUGACUUGCUGUCUCAAUGAAGGUAGGCUUGGCGACGCAUGAAUCACGUGUACGCUCCUCCACCAAGUCUUCUUAUUUGCCCAUCAAAUGCUACGACUUUUGACUUCAAAUUUUCGAGCCUGGAAUGAUUCAGGUCGCGAGUCCCAAGUUUUCUGAUAAUAUCUCCUAUCCAUAAAACAGAGUGCAAACGUCUAACGAGUCUAAAUUAAGAUCAUAUCUUAUUAUUGUCAGAGUGAAAGAAGGACCACCUCAGUCUGACCAGACCACGCUUAUAAAAAAAGAAUAUUUUUUUUGAAUAAUAUUAAACAAUAUUGUAGUUAUUAUCGUUAAUUAUUUCAGAUUGACCACUUCUCAGAUCAGCGUAUACAAAAACAAUUUCCAUAGACCGUCUCGUGGCAAGAGCCGAUCUUGUUGGUCUCUUACCACUCUUCAUCUAUAGUUAGGCAGUCUUGGGGGCGAAGGCCGAAACUGUGGGCGAUAGGCUUUUGCGUAUACAAUAUGUCGCCAGGUUUCCUUCUCUGUAACCUCAGCUGCAGCUGCAGCUGCAGAGGAUAGAUUGCAUGAUCUUCUUUCAAGGAAUCAGAAGGUUGCCGUCGCAUUCACACAUGAAUUCGCUUCUGUCACCUUCUUAGCCAUCGUCUUCUUCAUAACCCUCAUUUUCCUCCUCCUUUCCCAGUUGGAAGCAAGCAAAGAGUGAGUAUAUAUUCUCAGAAACCAGAAUGAUGGACAGCGGAGGAAGAGCAAAAGACACAGUAGCAUAGCAGCUGAGCUGACUCUAUUCCAGUGACAGAGACCUAAUUUACAGAGCUCCACUCAUCUAACGCAAACACUCAUCUUGGUUUGUUCCUAUAUUACAGAGCAGGAGGAAGCAGCUACGGGAAUCGAAGGAGUUCCAAUCAGAUGGAAGGAACAGAUGCCAAGCAACCAUACAAGUAUUAGCCAGAUGCACGAGGACGCGUCGAUGUCGCAGCUCCGCCUUCCCGUUCACCGCUCCCAGAUAUGCUCCCCUUCCAGGUGGAGUAGAUGGCGGAGGUCAUGGAAGACCAUGAAUCCUUCAGUUCCGUAGCGAUCUGCUUCUUGAUGCUGCCCCUUGGUGGUGGGCACAAGUUCCCUCUUCCCCUCCUCUCCUGCUUGCCGGCGUCUUGGUGGCUCUUCAUCUCUUCCGUAACAGAGAGAGAGAGAGAGAGAGAGAGAGAGAGUGCGCGUUGUCGCUGGAGCGAUAGGCAACCGGAUAUAUAGAGGUGUGUCAGAAGAGUAGCCGACAUACGUCAUUGAAACGUGUGUUAGUAUUAGGAAAAAUAUUGUUAAAAAAAUAAAUUAUGAUAAAAUUAUGAUUUUUAAAUUAUAAAAAUUAUGAUAUUAUCAUAAAUCUAUCAAUAAUAAAGAUAAUGAUCUCAACAUGAUUUGAUGAAAUAAUUUAGAUAAAUAUUUUAUAUUAUAAAAAUAUAUAAUUAUCAUAAUAUCUUUUUGUGGAUAUAAAUUCAUACCUAAUAUUCAUAAA